CCAUCACAGUGACAGUAAAGGCCCAUAAAGAAAACUAUUUCCUUCUGGUCAAGAGAAAGAAAUCUCUGAUUUGGGUGGAGACUGUUAUAACAUUCCAGUUGAUCAGGCCAAUGUUUCAUCUGAGAAAGAGCCUGCUGAUGAAAUCAUUAUAGUCAUGGAAAGAGUUUUCAGACAAGGCAAUGCUACAUACAUUUGUGAACCAGUAGAUGUGGGGAACAGGAAGUGAUGAGUACCACCUUCAAGUGCAAACCCCGCCUGCCCUCAGCAGCAUCACUGUCUACUUCCCUCAACAAAAGAAAAGGAAAACUCCUGCUGAUGGUCCCUGACCACAUAACUAAACUAUUGGACAGUUUUCUGAAGAGAUUCAAUCCAUCUAUGUUUAUAAAGAUCAUUUGCAUUGUUAAUCUGAUUUUAAAUACUCUAGUUUGAAAUAUGGAAA